GGGGAAUUUUCCGCAAUGGGCGAAAGCCUGACGGAGCAAUCUCGCGUGAGGGAUGACGGCCUAUGGGUUGUAAACCUCUUUUUUCAGGGAGGAAUAAAUGACGUGUACCUGAAGAAUAAGCAUCGGCUAACUC
rnacentral:rRNA from 1 species